AACAGCCUGGGUGGAGAAAGACAGGGAAAGUUUCAGAGAACGCAAGAGUUUCGAGCUGGAAAAAGGACACAUAUGCCUUGAGGGAUGCUGGGCUGGCUGUUGGGGCCUGAGACAGCAGUUGGACUGGGUAGGGAGAUAAAGCACCUUGACACACCAGGUAGGAUGGGUAUAACUCAGCCGACAGAUGCUAAAUGAAGGCUGAACACAGCCAGUGGCUAAACGCUGGAGCCUGGUUGGGUGGUGGAUCCAGUUGGCUGACGAGGGGUCUCCAGAGGAGAGCAUUCGAGGUUGCUUACAUUGUGCCAACUGCACCUGGGGCAAUUUGAGAUAGAGACUUGUAGUUUGACUCUUUGUUUUAAGUCGUAUGAUGGUCUCCUUCCGAAUUUGACAGGGCAUGCUGAGAGGAUGUGCAAUAAACAAGUAAGACAGGGCUUUCCUGGAGGACAAGGAAGCCUGCAGCAGUUUGUUACCACCCAUAGCACCCUAACCUGGAUGUCCUGACUCCAGAUGGCUCAACUUAACACAAGUAACAGAGCUCAAAUAGUAUCAUAGAAAUGUAGUGUUGUCUUUUCUUGACAGCCUUGCAUUGUACUUUAAGGUUUCAUAUUUGUCUUAUUUACUUGUACCGUACAUAAACACUUCUCCCAAGGAGACAUGAAACAAGGACUGUUAUUGUAAAUCUAUUGCAACACGUCUCUUUGUAUUGAAUAAUGAAAGAACAUCUAAUCUCAGACAACAUCUAAUAUACGUGACAAUACAGAGAAUUGCAGUCAAAAUAACCUGUUGAAACAGUUGCCUCUUCCUACGUGAUACACAUCUCUUAGAACAGAAUAUACAAACUUUACUUUCCAUAUUUCGUCAAUUUCUAGCAGCAAAAUUAUUGGGAGGCAAACAGUUAAAAAUCUAGACAACCUUCUGGGAAAUGGUGUCACUCAUGUCUGACUUCCUGUUUGGUGUGUUUGCCAUUGAGAGCAUUAUAGAGUUGAAGGCUGUGUGGAAUUUUAGGGCAAAUGGAAAAUUAGGGUCAGUACUAAAUAAACAGUAAAACUGUUAGACACCAA